rnacentral:rRNA from 1 species
UGCGUCGGAACGUACCGAGUAAUGGGGGAUAACGCGGCGAAAGUCGCGCUAAUACCGCAUACGCCCUGAGGGGGAAAGCAGGGGAUCGCAAGACCUUGCGUUAUUCGAGCGGCCGACGUCUGAUUAGCUUGUUGGUGAGGUAAAGGCUCACCAAGGCGACGAUCAGUAGCGGGUCUGAGAGGAUGAUCCGCCACACUGGGACUGAGACACGGCCCAGACUCCUACGGGAGGCAGCAGUGGGGAAUUUUGGACAAUGGGGGCAACCCUGAUCCAGCCAUGCCGCGUGAGUGAAGAAGGCCUUCGGGUUGUAAAGCUCUUUCAGCUGGAGCGAAACGGUACGCUCUAACAUAGCGUGCUACUGACGGUACCAGCAGAAGAAGCACCGGCUAACUACGUG